AGCUCCAAUAGCGUAUAUUAAAGUUGUUGUGGUUAAAAAGCUCGUAGUUGGAUCUCGGCGGUCUGAGGGCGGUUCGCUUGAUUGAGUGCUACUGCUCUAUAGGCCGUGGUUUUGCCAGAGGUCUCGGGGUGCUCUUAACCGAGUGUCCUGCGAUGCUGGCAGGUUUACUUUGAAAAAAUUAGAGUGCUCAAAGCAGGCUUUUACGCCUGAAUAUUCGUGCAUGGAAUAAUAGAAUAGGAAGUCGUUUCUAUUUUGUUGGUUUUCGGAAAUCGACUUAAUGAUUAAUAGGGACAGUCGGGGGCAUUUGUAUUCAAAGUAAACCUGCUGGCAUCCAGAGACAC
rnacentral:rRNA from 1 species